CGCCUGUUUAUUAAAAACAUGGCUUUUUGAGUAUCUAAAUAAUAAAAAGUCUGGCCUGCCCAGUGAGUAUAUUAAAUGGCUGCAACGAGAGUUGUACUAAGGUAGCGCGAUAAUUUGUCUCUUAAUUAGAGAAUGGUAUGAAGGGUUAGACGUGGGAUUAUUGUCUCUAAAAAAGAUAGUUAAGUUUCCUUUUAAAUGAAAAGGUUUAAAUUUAUUAAAAGACGAGAAGACCCUGUCGAGCUUAAUUAAAUAAAAAACUAGAUAUGGUUAAAUGAAAAGUGUUAAUAGUUUAAUUGUUGGCUGAGUUUUUAAUUGAAGUUUAGUUGGGGAGAGCUGAGUUUAAGGUAAUAAACUUAAGAAAUACUAAAGAUCCUCUUUGAGAGAAGUUAGCAAAAGCUACCGCAGGGAUAACAGCGUAAUUCUUUUUAAGAGAUCUUAUUGAGGGAAGAGUUUGCGACCUCGAUGUUGGAUUAGAAAAACUUUUUGGUGUAGCAGCUAGAAGUUGUAAGACUGUUCGUCUUUUAAUUUUCUACAUGAUCUGAGUUCAGACCGG
rnacentral:rRNA from 1 species